UUAGUCAGCAACAAUUGCAGGAAUUUCUUUUGUUUGAGAGAGAAUAUUCAAUAUUCAAAAUGGAGCUUAAUGACGAACUCUCAUCUUGAUCAUUUACACACUGAUUUAAGGUAUAUGGUGCAGAAUCUGUGCUUACUACAAAUAAUUUCAAUAUCAUAGUUUAGAUCAGUCUUGUACUCUCUGUCAUAUGUGUGUGGAUUUGGAACGCCUUUGAUACUUUCAUGCAUCGCUGCUGCUGUGGGGAACUAAGGGUUGUUUGGUAGUGAAGGAAGAUUCCUCAGAGAUUAAUAUCCUUCCAUCAAUUCCUGAAUCCCACUUCACUAGCCAUUACUGUGCAAAAUCUUCGGAGUUACCCUGUAGCUGGUUUCUUUUGGUGAUAUCACAGUUCUCGGUUCAGCCAAGGUUCAUUAGCACUGCUUCCAUUUUUCUGACAUCCAGGCAUGUUUUGUAACAGUCAUAUUUAUAGAAAUUUUUAAUUUCUUGGAAUAUGUGGUCUAUGCACUAAGCGUAUCAUUUUUUUACACAUGAAAUUAGUUUAUAUAUUAAUAUUUGGGAAAUGGGU
rnacentral:misc_RNA from 1 species